rnacentral:lncRNA from 1 species
CGGCAGAACACUCCUCCUGCCCAGCCGGCAGAUCAUCAGAGUCUAGACUAUUCUACUUCCAUCUCUCAACAUACUGGGCAGGGGGCAGACCACCAACGGCCACCGCUACUCCAACCGUCUUUAGCCACCAGCGACGACAACAAGCUUGGUCCCAUCUAGCUGGUCCUCGCCACAAAAAAGAGAAGACGAAGAAAAAAAUAUACUUGCUCGACUUACCUUGGGAUGCACGACAACUCCUCUCUUCGACAAGCAGUACAAAUUCUCCAAGAUCUCUCUCAAGCUAGAAAGUAAAGAAGUGAAGUUUGCGAUGUGAAGAAUAAUGAAGAGAAGCCCUGCAUUUAUACAGGUUGGGCAUCCUAGGUCAAGAAAGAAUCGCAAGCCCAUUCCUACUGGGAACCCAACUCCAAGAACAGUCAAAAGCCGACUCCAAUUGGGACCCCAAAUCCAAUAAGGAAGCCCAGUUACAGCUGGACAGCCC